rnacentral:rRNA from 1 species
AAUAGCCUAACGGCUGAACCAGCAACUUGGGGGAAUGUAUAGCAUUAGCUAGUUGUAUUAACAAUACAAUAUCGACUACGUCGAAUAAAAUUCUAGAUAGAAUAAUGAUUGUGACAAUUUUCUAUCUAUAUGUCUUGACCAAAUCUCGUGCCAGCAGUCGCGGUAAAACGUGGAAGACUAGUGUUAUUCAUCUUUAUUAGGUUUAAAGGGUACCUAGACGGUAUUUCAAGCCCGGAAAGGGAACGGAUUUACUAGAGUUUUAUAUGAGAAGAUAGUAUUUUUGGUGUAGAGAUAAAAUUCUUCAAUACCUAAAGGACUGUACAAGGCGAAAGCAAUCUUUAGCUUAUAUAUGACUAUAUAUAAGCAACUAUGUAAAAACUGACGUUGAGGGACGAAGGCCUGGGGAGCGAGAAGGAUUAGAUACCCUAGUAGUCCAGGCAGAAAAUUAUGAAUGUCAUAGAUUAGAAUUAUUUUAGUCUAUAAAUGAAAGUGUAAGCAUUCCACCUCAAGAGUAAUGCGGCAACGCAGGAACUGAAAUCAUUAGACCGUUUCUGAAACCAGUAGUGAAGUAUGUUAUUUAAUUCGAUGGUCCGCGAAAAACCUUACCACAAUUUGAAUAUUUAACUUUAUAGUUUUAUACAAGCGUUGCACGGCUGUCUUCAGUUAAUGUCGUGAGAUUUUGGUUAGUUCCAUAUAAUUAACGUAAACCCUUGCUUUAUUUAUUUUAUAUAAUAAAGUAGUUCACCGCUAUAUUGGAGAAGAUAAAUGGGAUUAAGACAAGUCAUCAUGGCCUUAAUAUUGUGGGCUAUAGACGUGCCACAUAUGCCUGUACAAAGAGAUGCAAAAAUGCG